UACAGAGGUGGCAAGCGUUGUUCGGAAUUACUGGGCGUAAAGGGCGCGUAGGCGGCCUUCUAAGUCAGACGUGAAAUCCCCCGGCUUAACCUGGGAACUGCGUCUGAUACUGGGAGGCUAGAGUAUGGGAGAGGGAUGUAGAAUUCCAGGUGUAGCGGUGAAAUGCGUAGAUAUCUGGAGGAAUACCGGUGGCGAAGGCGGGUCUCUGGGCCGAUACUGACGCUGAGGAGCGAAAGCGUGGGGAGCGAACAGG
rnacentral:rRNA from 1 species